AAAACAAAUUGAUAUAUUAGCCCACAAAAGCCCAUCACUUUAGAGAUUUCUCAGCGGCCCAUCACUAAACCCUAGCUUCCGCCAUUUUUCUCUAUAUAAACCACCUUCGUCUCCAUUAAGCUCAAACACUCACUCUUCUGAUCUAGGGUUUUACAGCUUUCACUUUCCUCCAUAAGAGUAAGCUUCGCCCUUUCGAUUUUACAGUUCAAUUUCUCUGUUUUGAUUUUGUUUAUUUUUGGCCUAUGAUUAAAUUUCUUAAAUAUAGACAAGCAUAUGUCUGAAUUUUCAUCAUGUUGAAUACCUAAUCUUCUCUAUGAGGCCAAUUACAUACUUUUUUUUUGUUUUUCUAUCCAGAUUUCAACUUUUUGUGCUCAAUAAUUAAAAAAAAAACAGGGUCAUAUGAUGAUUAGAAGCAUAGUUCAAAUGAGAUUUAUAUGAUUACAAAAAUUCUUUUUAGUCUUUCGCUCCUAUCUGAUGACUCUUCAUAUUAGUAUUAAAAUCUAAUUUUUAAGCCAUUGAUUGUUGUGUAUAUUGAAAAAUUGAAAUGGUUAAUGGACAAUGACGAUUUAUCUAUUUGGUCUCGUUCGUCGUAAUGGUGUUUAAAUCACCUUGCCGACCAUUCUGAUAUAUCACCACCCAUAAACUGAGUCCCAUUAUCAUACUGUUUUGUUAAUUUUUCAAUUCAAUUCACCAUUUUUUUGUGCUGUGAUGAAAAAUUCCUUGUGUCGGAGACUUAUCGUCGUUGAUGGCUUACACAACCCUCUAAGAAGUUCUGAGCACUUCUUUUUUUUGUUUUCAAUAUCAGUAUUUUAAGUGAGUAGUGAGUAAUAGUAAUUGAAUGAAGUGAAGAUAGAAUUCAUAUGUUAAUUCACUGAAUUACAUUUUUAUGAUGUUCAAAGUGAAUCUCGACAGGUUCUGAUCGUUUAUUAGUUAAUUAAUCCUCCGUUAAUUCUGAUUUUUGCUUUGUUAAUUUCUUUAUCUUAUGGGCAAAUGAUGAAAUUUUUAUAUCGUAAAUGGGUAAUUUGCGUCUGAAUCAUUCUUUGAUGUUAUCACCUUGGAGAACUGAUGCCCUUUAAAACUUUUUUUUACUUUGUAUGCCAAUUAGCAGAGCAAAGGUGUCUCUCAAAAAUGACACUCAUUUGCAUUGAAGGUUGGCUAUAUACAUAGCAAUUCUCCGUGCCUUUCAAGCUUUUUUCUUGUAUUGAUUAUGGCCUCGAACAAAUUGCUAUAUCUUAUCCCUAUACUGUUAAAUUUGUGAUACAAGCCAAUUUGCAGAGCAAUGGUGUCCUUCAAAAAUGACAGAUAUUUGCAUUGAAGGUUGGCUAUAUGUAUAGCGAUUCUCCGUGCCUUUCAAUCUUUUUUCUCGUAUUGAUUACGGCCUCGAACAAAUUGCUAUAUCCCCAAUUAUACUGAAGACGCAGCUAAUGGUAAUAUGGAAUUGGAGAUGUAGCAAUAGAAGAAUACAGAUGGAAGGCCUGAUAGUUGAUGAUUGCAAAUUGUAAAGUUGGAUUUAAGAAAUUGAAGUUUUUCACUCUAAAAGUAAUGCUCAACAAAAUGCAUUUGGAAAACGCAUUUGUUUGUGUUCAAGUUGUAUAUAUAGUUCACGAUAUUUUUUGUAGCUUCUGAACUUAAAUAUAUUUUUUGUUCAAAAUUUUUGUGUAUGUUUUUAAGUUGUUAGCUAUGUAAUCUAUUGAGCUAAGCAGCCAAAGUGACUCAUUUUGAAGGUCGAAUGUGUUGAAGUGUAGACAAAUCUCAAUUUUGUCGAUUUUGUUGAGGUAAUUUGGAUAAUCUAGAAUUUCAACGUAUUUGCUCAAAUUUUUUAUGGACGUUCGUUAAGACUUUAGCUAUGGAUUCAAUUGGCGAUCAAAACGACUCAUUUUAAAGGUCAAACGAGUUCCAAAGCGAUAAACUCCUCAUUUUGAUGAUUUUUGGUGAUGCAGAAAUCUGACAUUUUUAUCGACCAAUUGUUUUGUAAAUAUCCGUUAAGAUGUUAGCUAUGGAGCCAGUUGGUUCUAAAGGGCAAAACAUCCUAUUUUAAAGGUAAAUCAAUUUGGAUUUUUCGUGUUCUAAAAUUUUGACGUCUUUUUAUUCAAAUUUGUCAUGAAUUGUUUGUACUUUAGUUAUGGAGCCAGUUGACCUUCACGGUAAAACGAUCCAUUUUUAAGGUCAAACGUGCCCAAAGCAAGUAAAUUUCAAUUUUGUUGAUUUUCGUGAGCUAUAGUUCAUGAAUUUUUGGUAAUUUAAAAUUUUGACAUUUUUUGGCUCAAAUUUUUGUGGACAUCCAUUAAGACGUUAACUAUGUAGUCAAUUG
rnacentral:lncRNA from 1 species